UACGUAGGUGGCAAGCGUUGUCCGGAUUUACUGGGCGUAAAGGGCGUGCAGGCGGUUUGUUAAGUCUGGGGUGAAAGCUCCCGGCUCAACUGGGAGAGGUCCUUGGAUACUGGCAGACUUGAGGAGAGUAGAGGAGAGUGGAAUUCCCGGUGUAGUGGUGAUAUGCGUAGAUAUCGGGAGGAACACCGGUGGCGAAGGCGGCGACCUGGACCGACACUGACGCUAAUACACGAAAGCGUGGGGAGCAAACAGG
rnacentral:rRNA from 1 species